rnacentral:rRNA from 1 species
AUUGAACGCUGGCGGCAUGCUUUACACAUGCAAGUCGAACGGCAGCACGGGAGUAAUCCUGGUGGCGAGUGGCGAACGGGUGAGUAAUAUAUCGGAACAUGUCCGGAAGUGGGGGAUAACGUAGCGAAAGUUACGCUAAUACCGCAUAUGCCCUGAGGGGGAAAGGAGGGGAUCGCAAGACCUUUCGCUUUCGGAGUGGCCGAUAUCAGAUUAGCUAGUUGGUGAGGUAAAGGCUCACCAAGGCGACGAUCUGUAGCGGGUCUGAGAGGAUGAUCCGCCACACUGGAACUGAGACACGGUCCAGACUCCUACGGGAGGCAGCAGUGGGGAAUUUUGGACAAUGGGCGCAAGCCUGAUCCAGCCAUGCCGCGUGAGUGAAGAAGGC